CAGGGGCAGGGGUGAGUUGGCACAUCCAGCCUUAUGAGGUUUAUUCGCCCGGUGUGGCAGUCUUCUGACAUCCUUAGUGAUUUCAGAACAAUACUUCCCUUGGAUCUUCCUGUCCUGACCAGGACUGUUUAAGCACAGACGUUAUCUAAAACCAACUUGCACAUAUAUAUAUCUUUUUUUACACAUUUAAGAAAUCUUUCUUUUUUUUAUGUCGUAUAUUUUCAAUAUUUACCUUACCAAAAGAGGUGAUAAUUACCAGUUUUAGAAAUUUCUAGGAAUUAAGGAAAAGAAAAAAGAAUGCAUCAGUCAGAGGGGAAUGUGAUUUAGAGCCCAACCCCACUCACAUUUAUGUAGUGAUCACUCUGCACCAGGCACUGUUUUAAGCGUUUUGUAGAUAUUAAUACACUAAUCCUCACAAAAUCUCUAUGAAGUAGGCCAAUGCCAUUAUACAGACGAGAAACCAAAAUACAGAGUUAUUAAGUGACUUGCUCAGUAUCACACAGCUAGGAAGGGGCAGGCUUUGGUUAGUGAUUUCACUUUCUAAAACUGAUAAAGGAAAUGUGGUCGAGAAUUUCAAAGACCUCUCUGUAUCAUGUGUCCUGUGGAGGGGAAGUGGUUUGGGGUUUUUUGUUUUUUGUUUUUACAUUUAUUUAUUUAUUUGAGAGAGCGAGCAAGCAUGCAAGCGGGGCUGGGCGAGGGGCAGAGGGAGAGAGAGAAUCCCAAGCAGACUCCCUGCUGAGCACGAAGCCCGUCUCAGGGCUCGGUCUCACGUCCCUGAGACACGACCUGAGCCAAAAUCAAGAGUCGGACACUUAACUGACUGAGCCACCCAGGUGCCCCAGGGGAACCCAGCGGCUCUAGUUCUGGGGGCAUGGGUUUGUGAUCCUUGCGCCCCGCGAUCCUCUUCCCUUUCUCGCUAUUAGGUGACUGCUACGUUGCCUCACGUUGUAUAUACUUCUAUUGUGCAGGGAGCACCUUCAAUUAUUUCCUUUUCAUGCAUAGUCUAGUGUCUUGCCCUCCCUGCCCCCAACAAAGUUGUGCGUUCCUGCAGGAUCGGUCAGUCCUUCCUCAGCUUUUCAAUCCUUGGAGACUAGACCCUGCUCAGCACAGAGUGGGCCUUCAGUAAGGUUGGCUAGGUCCAGUUAAACAUUGCCAGGGUACAACCUAUAUGAUACGGACGGGCUUUUUAAAAUUCUCAGUUCACAUUUUCUGUUGUGGAAAGUGAAAUCGCUGAGCAGAACAUGAAUUAAUUCACUGUUUUCUUUGUAGAUCCAGGGAAGUUGGUAAGCAUCUCUUUGUAAAUGUAGGUCGAUACUCAGGAGUCACGUUGCUCCACUAAGAUGAAAUCAGUCCCAGGGGUUCUGUAAAGCCCAUUUUCUUUCUCUAAAGGCAUGGCUGAAGCAUGUUUUGGUCUCCAAAUGCUAACAUUUCUGGUGAAAAACAUUCUUCACCCAGAGAGACGUAUCAAAUACAGGGUUGGUUGGCAAGGGGUGAAGAUAUCUAAUAGAUUUGCACUUGAUGGAAUCUACCAAAAUGGUUAAUAUGCUUAUUUGAACCUUAAGCCAAAAUCGUCUCAUUUGUUACUGUCAUCAAAGUUAUUACUCUGAUCAUUCGAUAAUUAUCCUUUAGGACAGCAGUCAGUCUGUCCAGUUUUUUACCAAUGAAGUUUCCUCAAGGUCCCUUAGUUCCUAGAUCAGCAAGCCCUCCCCAUCCCUAAGGAGGGAUGGACAGUUGCCAGGCUGGUUAGUUGUGCCCCUCCCCCAGCCCCUACCCUACAAGGACCAUCAUACCCCUCCUCCUGUUGGGACCCCAGGAUGACCUGUCCCUCGAAAGUUACUAUGUUCCCAUGAAAACACGUUUAACUUCCUUUUAGUUGCAUAGAUUUUACCCCUCCGGAUCUAUCUCCAGAAGAAACAGCCAAGAGGUGAUUUUUAAAACCUCAAUGCCUGUAUUUAUGAAGUGUCUACUUAAUUACAAAGUCCUACGCUAAGCACUAUGGGAUGGUUCGUUUUGUUUUGUUUUUGUUUUUGUUUUAAGUGUAAGACAAUUCUGACCCUCUAGGAACUGAGAUAAAUCAUGAACGCAUUAAAAUUCAAAUACAAAAAUAGUUACCAUGGGCCAAGAGUCAGAGAGCUGAGUUACCUCUGGGCUUACCCUUAUCACUAGGUGUGUGAUGUGGGGCUAGUUGUUUAACUUCUUGGAGUCUGAGUUUCUUUGUGGUUAUAAGAGGGGUGAUAGGGCGCCUGGGUGGCUCAGUUGGUUAAGCUUCAGCUUAACUGCCUUCAGCUCAGGUCAUGAUCCUGGAGUCCUGGGAUCGAGUCCCGCAUCGGGCUCCCUGCUCAGCAGGGAGUCUGCUUCUCCCUCUGACCCUCCUCCCUCUCAGGCUAUCUGUCUCUCAUUCUCUCUCUCGCAAAUAAAUAAAAAAUCUUAAUAAAAAAAAAAUUAAAAAUUAAAAAAAAAAAAGAGGGGUGAUAACAACACAUACCUGCCAAGUGGUUAGGAGGAUUACAUUAAUAUAUGUGUGGCAAUAUUGUUGAUGACCCAUCUCCCAUUUCACCCGCAGCUGUGGUGGGCAGUUUCCAUAGGAAUUAGCUUCCCCCUGUUAUGGACUGAAUUCUGUUCCCACAAAAUCCACAUGCUAAAGCCCUAUUCCCCAGCGUGACUGCAUUUGGAGAAAGGGCCUCUGAAGAGAUAGUAAGGUUAAAGGCGGUCCUAAGGAUGGGACCCUAAUCCAAUAGGACUAGUGUCCUUAUGGGAGGAGAGGGAGACAUCAGCACUGUGCACACGCAGAGGACGUACCACGCGGGGACACAGCAGGAAGGCAGCCGUCCGCAAGCCACGGAGAGAGACCUCAGGAGAGACCAACCCUGCCAACACCCUGACUUCGGACUUCCAGCCUCCAGAACUGUACAAAAAUCAAUUUCUCUUUUUAGGCGCCCCCAGUCUGGGGUAUUUUGUUAUAGCAGCUUGAGCUGGCUAAGACACCCCCUCAAGCACUUCCAUCUCUCUGCCUCUCUGGGAGUGAUUUUUGGCACGUCCAGGAGCUUGUUCAGCCUUCAACAGGCCAAUCUGGAAGUGGGGGGAGUUAAGGCCUCCAGGGACACCCCUCAAACAGCAGCAGGAUGGGAGACCAUGGAAGAACGUCCCAGCCCCUGGUCGUCAGACGGAACAAUGCUGAGAUGGGGUGCUAUCUUUUCUCAGAAGGGCCCAGAAGGGUUGAGCCCCAACCCUCACAGCACCGACCCGUUCACUGAUGCAAACUUUAUCAGUUUUUCUCCCUCCCUGCCUUCCCGCCCCACACCUUCACUUGGGAUCACUUUCCAAAUAAACAACCUUCACACAAGUCCUUGAUUCGGGGUCUGCCUCUGGGGGAACACCAAACUCAAGUCCAGGGACAUAUUCACAUUAGCCUCUCUUAGUGAGCACCCCCUCCCCUAACAAAAAAGUGAAAACAAGAUUUAGCACCAGAAGACAGGUUACAAUGAAGCAAUGGGGUCUACUACAUGAACACCAGAGGCAAUACAGUAUUAGAGGAUUCAAGAGGAAAAAUCCAUUUUGACUCCCUGCUGAGCAAAUAGGAUCAUCUACCUAAAGCCCGAAGAGAUCUCAGCUCUCAGUUAGCUUACAAACUGUGACAUCACACAGACGAGGUUUCAAGGGCUGAAAAGAUCCCGACCUAGCCAGUGGUCGUACCCCAAACAGGAUGCUCUGGCCAAACGCCAGAGUGGCCACCCUGCGGACAUGCCCUCAAAGCUAUCAGGGGGAGCCCCCAUAAAUGUCCUAAGCUUGGGCGCCUGGGUGGCUCAGUCAUUUAAGCGUCUGCCUUCGGCUCAGGUCAUGAUCCCAGGUCCUGGGACCGAGCCCCGCAUCAGGCUCCCUGCUUGUCGGGAAGCCUGCUUCUCCCUCUCCCUCUGCCCCUCCCCACUGCUUAUGCUCUAUCUCUUGCUCGCUCUCAAAUAAAUAAAUAAGAAUCUUUAAAAAUGUUUAAAAAAAUAAAAAAGGUUGACCAAAAAAAAAAAAAUGUCCUAAGCAGAACUGGAGGUUUAUUUAGCAAAGUUCAGGAAAAAGGCAGAGCAGGUGUCUUGUCCCAAAAGUCCCCUCCAGAGGCCCCUUGAGAAAGAAUGUACCAGCUGCUACAUUUCCAGUCCCUUCCUUGACAUUUAUUGGCUUUUUUGAUGAAUGUGAGAGCGAUUUUUCUGUCAACAGCUUCUCAUUAGGGGCCUAGUGAUGUUCUUUCUGACCAUUAUUUUUCUCAGUAUCAUGCCUGGUCACUGGGAGGAGAAAAGGUUCCACUUAGCAUCCAUCCGUCUUUGCGGCAGCGGAGAGCCCAGCGGAUCCCACCGAAACACUCGCCUGCGCCCACAGCUGCCCCAGGGCGCGCAGAGAGUUUAGGCAGAUGGCCAGCCAUUAACGAAUGCCUCCUUCUCUGGCACCAUGCUUCUCCAUCCAUUCCUUUAAGGACAUAUUUCAGGACACUCCACCCUGAGACGCAAAGUACCCCAACCAAAAAGACUUCCCCCCUUCUUGUGACGCCUUCAUCCAUCUCAGUAUCCAGAUGAGGGUACCACGCGAUGGUCCCCAAGUCUCCCAGCCGGUAAGUGAUGGGAGCAGGGCCCCGACUUCGGUCACGGAACACCACGCCCCUGUCAGGACACAGAGAUCCCUGGUUCUCUUCCUCUUCCUGGGAGGGCACCCGUUCCCCUAGAUCAGAGAGUUUCACCCUUAUGAACGUAUUUAACCUCCAGCCCCUCCCAAAAGACCCUGGAAACCACCCCCCAUAUAGUCACACGAGGGCAGAGAGGCUUCCAUUUGGGGGUGACAACUGAGGGCAUAGCAGGUGGGCUGGUCAAACAAUUUACAGCCGGUAUAUUUUUAGUAUUUAAUUGCAAGGCUGUUCUCAACAAUCAAGGAGGAAAGGUGUAGUUCUCUGGGCAUUCUUUUCAAAACCUCACCUCUUCUCUGCCCUUUCGCUCCAAUGAACACAGAAUAUAAUGGCAGGAUACCUGACGGCAAUCUCUUCUCCCAUUGCUGGGGUGGGUGAGUAAUGGGAGUUAUUUCUGUUUCAGCCGGGGCGAGAUGCUGUGGGGUUGGGUUUGGCCUCUCGGUUUGGGUCUGAUUGGUUUGGUUUGCUUCUUUCUUCUUCUUUCCUACUCUGAGAACAAGAAGAGGUAGAAGGACUCCUGCCUAGGCAAGAAAUUCUCCACAAGUGACUAUAUUACUCGGCCGUUAACACGUCUCAGUGGUCUGGGCGUUUGCUGCAAGGCUGUAUUGCUCCACAGGGGACUCUGAUUCGGAAUAAUCCAUUUUAAGAGAAUUCAGGUUUUUUUGAAAGUGUAUUUAGUGGGUGCACACAAUGGCUGUGCUAACUGUAUUUGGUUCGGUCCGAC